UACGUAGGGUGCAAGCGUUAAUCGGAAUUACUGGGUGUAAAGCGUGCGCAGGCGGUUAUGUAAGACAGGUGUGAAAUCCCCGGGCUUAACCUGGGAACUGCAUUUGUGACUGCAUAGCUAGAGUACGGUAGAGGGGGAUGGAAUUCCGCGUGUAGCAGUGAAAUGCGUAGAUAUGCGGAGGAACACCGAUGGCGAAGGCAAUCCCCUGGACCUGUACUGACGCUGAGGCGCGAAAGCCUAGGGGAGCAAACGGG
rnacentral:rRNA from 1 species